rnacentral:tRNA from 1 species
GACACUUUGGCGGAGUGGUUAACGCGCUGGCCUGCUACAUCUGUUGUAAGCCAGUUCCCUCGGGAGCGCAGGUUCGAAUCCUGCAGGUGUCG